GUGAGGAAUUUUCCGCAAUGGGCGAAAGCCUGACGGAGCAAUGCCGCGUGAAGGAUGAAGGCCUAUGGGUUGUAAACUUCUUUUCUCAGAAAAGAAUUAUGACGGUAUCUGAGGAAUAAGCAUCGGCUAACUCUGUGCCAGCAGCCGCGGUAAGACAGAGGAUGCAAGCGUUAUCCGGAAUGAUUGGGCGUAAAGCGUCUGUAGGUUGUUUAAAAAGUAUUCUGUCAAAGAUUAGGGCUUAACCCUAGAUAGGCAGAAUAAACUUUUAAGCUAGAGUUUGGUAGAGGCAGAGGGAAUUCCCGGUGGAGCGGUGAAAUGCGUAGAUAUCGGGAGGAACUCCAAAGGCGAAGGCACUCUGCUGGGCCAAUACUAACACUGAGAGACGAAAGCGAGGGGAGCAAAUGGGAUUAGAUACCCUGGUAGUCC
rnacentral:rRNA from 1 species